GGGCCCGCACAAGCGGUGGAGCAUGUGGUUUAAUUCGAUGAUACGCGAGGAACCUUACCAGGGCUUAAAUGCAGUAUGACAGAUUUGGAAACAGAUUUUUCUUCGGACAUAUUGCAAGGUGCUGCAUGGUUGUCGUCAGCUCGUGCCGUGAGGUGUCAGGUUAAGUCCUAUAACGAGCGCAACCCCUAUUUCUAGUUGCCAGCACAUAAUGGUGGGGACUCUAGAGAGACUGCCGGUGCAAACCGUGAGGAAGGUGGGGAUGACGUCAAAUCAUCACGGCCCUUACGUCCUGGGCUACACACGUGCUACAAUGGUAGGGACAGAGAGCAGCCACUUCGCGAGAAGGAGCGAAUCUACAAACCCUAUCGUAGUCCAGAUUGUCCUCUGCAACUCGAGGGCAUGAAGUUGGAAUCGCUAGUAAUCG
rnacentral:rRNA from 1 species